rnacentral:rRNA from 1 species
UACAGAGGCCCCAAGCGUUACUGAGAAUCACUGGGUUUAAAGGGUGCGUAGGUGGCGCGUUAAGUCCGUUGUGAAAUCCCUUGGCUCAACCAAGGAAUGGCUUCGGAUACUGGCGUGCUUGAGGCCGGUAAGGGUCACUGGAACUGACGGUGGAGCGGUGAAAUGCGUAGAUAUCGUCAGGAACGCCAAUGGUGAAGACAGGUGACUGGGCCGGUACUGACACUGAGGCACGAAAGCGUGGGGAG